UCUACGGGAUAUAUACAACGAGCAAAGCGAGUUGUAUAUAUCCCGUAGACAACGGCACGAGUUGUCUAUCCGACUUAGACCACGUGACAUAAAAACUGCAAUUAUUGAAAACUCUCCCACGCUUUCUAUAGAAAUUAGGAUGAACGUGUUUUUAUAAGAGUAAUAUCAUCUUUGUACCGUUAGCGCUUAAUUGUCAGUAGGGCAUAUGAAAUAAUGCAGGUUACUUGUAUAAAUUCAGUUUUACUCAAAUACCGGAUUUACUAAGAUUUAACGUUCAUUAACACUUUGAGUCAUUUGCAAUCACAAAAUUAAUGCUAAACAGUUAAAUAUGGAUUUCUCAAAAAUACUCAAAACUGGACUGCAUGCUGAACAAUUAGUUUUUGUGAGAAGUUUGCAUGUUGGCGAAACACGAUGACAGAUACGUUGAUUCGUUGAUUCAAGAAGAUAGCCAGGGAGUCCUUUAUAUGCAGAAAAAAUAGAAAAGUUUGAAUCUUACAAACUACAAAAUAUGGGUUGGUGUCUUGGUAUGGAGACUGGAGUGAGAUUUCGAAGGACCUUGGAGUCUUAUUUUAUAGUCAAAUUCAAUACAGAUGAAAAUAGGUAUAACUACUUUAUCGUCAUCACUGUUGUCGUCAUUGUUAUCUUGAAAAUUCAGUUCAUCAUCCUUGACAGACAAAAUCGUUGAAAACGUCUAAGCAACAGAAUUGUCUAAAAUUCAAGCAUUAUCUUCAAGAAGCAUCUCCGUCACCAUAGUCAUCAUCAACGACAAUAACAACAAACCAUUAUUUGACAACUAAACAAUGCUUAAAUCUUGGUCAAUAGCAAAAACAUCACUAACACUGUCGAUGAUAAUGUUGAUGACGAUGGUAGAUGAUGACUGCGAUGACGAUAAUGAUGGUGGUGAUGAUGCUGGUGAUAGUGGUGCUGACGCUGAAGAUGAUGUUGGCAGUGUUAAUGGUGGUGAUUAAGGUGAAGAUGAUGGUGAUGGUUCUAGUGGUUGCGAUGACAAUGGUGGUGGUGGUAGUGGUGGUGAUGAUGAUGAUGAUGAAAUUAAUAGUAAUGUUAUUCAAAUUUUUGCGACACUUCAAUGUAUGGAAGCAUAAAGGAGUACACAGUGAAUAUAUUUGAUCAGGAACACACUAAGAAACAAUUUACAAAUGUAACAAUUGAAACAUGUGUGAAAUGUCAGUUAAUUUACCUUAUGGCCUUCCAGUGGCAAAACCUUUUCCCACAGCAAAGCAAAUUUUAUUUAUUGUUGCCCGUCUUCUUUCAAAAAUUUUACUGAUCAGAAGACAUGGUUGUUAGACGGAUGAUGAAGGAGUUCCCUAGCAUGAUGUAGAGGAAUGGCGCCAUGGCUUGCACUGGUAAGUCUAUUGAGUUUGAUGUAUAUCAGGGCCAGUCUAAAAAUAUUAAUAACAAUCGCACGCUUCCGUAGAAGUUUGACAUGCAAGAAACUCGUACUUUACCAGGAUGAUACAUGAAUUACUCCUUCAUAAUCAUGCAAAGCUUUAUUGAAAACUAUCGUACCGUUUCGGAGAUAUUUAGUUUUGUAUCGUGUGUAGUCAUAUACCCUAAGCAAAUUACAUGUAGCUAUGAAAAGCGAACAAAAUCUGAAAUAAGGGCGUACAUUAAAGUGCGUUAUUCUUUAGAAAUACCUGCAAGGUAGAUACUCCGUGAACUGCAUAUUUUAUAUGGGAAGUCUGCAGUAUCAGAGAAAAGUGUUUACAUGUGGGACCGUAAAUCUGAAAAUGAUCAGACAGUCCUUAAAGACAUCCCGCUUAUUCACUAGAUCAAAGUCCUUGUGACUUUUUCCUCUAUCCGAGGCUGAAAAAGAUGUUGGCUGGGCUCAAAUAUUUAUUGAAUAAAGCACUUGGGAGUGGUAGUUUUCAGCUACUCGAGAACAUAUCAAGGGGAGACUACACUGCAGCGUUGGAGCUCUUGGGUUUCUCGACUGCGGAAUUGUGUGGAAGGCAAGGGCGAUAAACUAAAUUUGAAUUAUGUACAAAGACUGUGUACCAUACUCCAGCACGAUUGUCAUUAUUUUUAGAAUGUCCCUCGUAAUGUUAAUAUUUUGGGAGUGAAGCUUCCUUCGAAUGUUUGCUGAAUAUUAGCAUGGGACUGCUGAGGAAUACUCCAUACAAGGAUGGCGCAAUAGUUUAAUGAUGUUGAUUAAUCAAAGGACAAUAACUCAAUGAAAAAUCAUGCGACCGAUACAUGAAGAUUAUAUGAACAUCUCCCCUUGGGAGUGACGCUGCUGAAUUUCAGCCAGUGGUUGUUGAGGUAUAUUCCGGAAAAGGACAGCUCAAUAGUUUAAUUAUGUUGAAUAAUCAAAGGACAAUAACUCAGUGAAAAAUCAUCCGACCAGAACAUGAAGACGGCAUAUGCAUUCCCUCUUGGGAGUGAAGUUUCCUAUGAAAAUUCACUGAAUUCCAGCUAAAGAUUGCUUAAAAAUACCCCGGUCAAAGAUGGUACUGUAGGUAACUAACGUUGAAUAAUCAAAGGGCAGUAAUUCAGUGAAAAGAACAUCUGACCGGAACAUAAAGAUAAUAUGCGCUCCUAUAGGUAAGGAAGCUUCCUGUGAAGUUUUACUGAAAUCCAGCCAAAGGUUGCUGAAAAUACACCGGACAAGGAUGUUACUGUAGUUAACUAUUGUUGAAUAAUCAACGGGCAGUAAAUCAGUGAAAAAUCAUCCGACUGGAACAUGAAGAUAGUAUGCGCAUCUCAUCUUGGGAGUGUAGAUUCCUAUGAAGUUUCGCUAAAUUCCAGCCGGUGGUUGCUGAGGAAUACUCCGGACAAGAAAUAAUGCUUCAGUAUACUAAUGUUGAAAAAUCAAAGAGAAAUAACUCAUAAUAAAUCAAACUACCAGAACAUGAAGAUAAUAUGCGCAUCUCCUCUUCGGAGUGAAGCUUCCUGUGAAGUUUCACUGAAUUCCAGCGAUUGGUUACUGAGGAAUGCUCCGGACAAGAAGUGCGGGAUGGAAGGACGGACGGACGAAGCGGUAACAUAAUGCGUGCCCUUCCGGAGAGCAUUAAAAUUAUAAAGUACCUUUCACGAGGGUUUGAGCUAAAUAUUGUUAAAAAGACCAUAGGGAUUUUAUAACAGAGUAGCUUAACUAUACCUGCCUUCAUUUUUCUCCCUUUCUCAGUUCAACAAAAUAACAAAACAUCAUCAUCCACAGUGCUAUCAACAUUAUCAGCAGUAUUUUCAUCAUUACAAAAUAGCAAUGUUUACAAAGUCAAUGACACCAUUUUUCGCACGAUCAUCUUCAUCAAAGUACACAGCAAUAAUUUUCUGUCAUCA